rnacentral:rRNA from 1 species
UCGGGAAUUUUGGGCAAUGGGCGAAAGCCUGACCCAGCAACGCCGCGUGAAGGAUGAAGUAUUUCGGUAUGUAAACUUCGAAAGAAUAGGAAGAAUAAAUGACGGUACUAUUUAUAGGGUCCGGCUAACUACGUGCCAGCAGCCGCGGUAAUACGUAGGGACCAAGCGUUGUUCGGAUUUACUGGGCGUAAAGGGCGCGUAGGCGGCAAUUCAAGUCAUCUGUGAAAUCUCCGGGCUUAACUCGGAACGGUCAGAUGAUACUGCUUUGCUAGAGUGCAGAAGGGGCAAUCGGAAUUCUUGGUGUAGCGGUGAAAUGCGUAGAUAUCAAGAGGAACACCUGAGGUGAAGACGGGUUGCUGGGCUGACACUGACGCUGAGGCGCGAAAGCCAGGGGAGCAAACAGGAUUAGAUACCCCCGUAGUCCCUGAGCGGGCUGGCAAGGCGCAU